UACGUAGGGUGCAAGCGUUAAUCGGAAUUACUGGGCGUAAAGCGUGCGCAGGCGGUUUGUUAAGUCAGAUGUGAAAUCCCCGAGCUUAACUUGGGAACUGCAUUUGAAACUGGCAAGCUAGAGUCUUGUAGAGGGGGGUAGAAUUCCAGGUGUAGCGGUGAAAUGCGUAGAGAUCUGGAGGAAUACCGGUGGCGAAGGCGGCCCCCUGGACAAAGACUGACGCUCAGGUGCGAAAGCGUGGGGAGCAAACAGG
rnacentral:rRNA from 1 species